rnacentral:rRNA from 1 species
UACGGGGGGGGCAAGCGUUGUUCGGAAUUACUGGGCGUAAAGGGCUCGUAGGCGGCCAACUAAGUCAGACGUGAAAUCCCUCGGCUUAACCGGGGAACUGCAUCUGAUACUGGAUGGCUUGAGUUCGGGGGAGGGAUGCGGAAUUCCAGGUGUAGCGGUGAAAUGCGUAGAUAUCUGGAGGAACACCGGUGGCGAAGGCGGCAUCCUGGACCGGCACUGACGCUGAGGAGCGAAAGCCAGGGGAGCAAACGGG